GAUUAACGCUAGCGGCAGGCCUAAUACAUGCAAGUCGCACGGGAUUUCGGGUAGCAAUAUCUGAAUGAGAGUGGCGCACGGGUGCGUAACACGUAUGCAAUCUACCUUUAACUGGGGAAUAGCUCACCGAAAGGUGAAUUAAUACCGCAUAAAAUCACAGAAGGACAUCCUUCAAUGAUUAAACCUACGGGGGUUAAAGAUGAGCAUGCGUCCGAUUAGCAGUUGGCGGGGUAAUAGCCCACCAAGGCAACGAUCGGUAGGGGGUCUGAGAGGAUGAUCCCCCACACUGGUACUGAGAUACGGACCAGACUCCUACGGGAGGCAGCAGUAAGGAAUAUUGGAC
rnacentral:rRNA from 1 species